GGAGAAUACUAAAAGGAAAAGAAGAUACUUCCACAGAGAGGAAGCACACAUUGGAGGUCCUAAGAGGAAGUAAUGAAUCAUCUUUGGCCUCCCAUGACUUUCUCUUGCUUUCCCAUUUGGGGAGCCUGAGGCAGAGAGUGGAGAAACCAUCCUGAAGCUUGAUUAAAGAUGUAUUACAACUUUACUACAUAAAGACUUUCUUACCCAGUGGAAGUCCUUUCUUAGCACCUGGAUGACCAUCUUAAGCAUCAGCUGCCAUCUUAAG